rnacentral:rRNA from 1 species
UACGUAGGGGGCAAGCGUUGUCCGGAUUUAUUGGGCGUAAAGAGCGUGUAGGCGGCCAGGUAGGUCCGUUGUGAAAACUCGAGGCUCAACCUCGAGACGCCGAUGGAAACCAUCUGGCUAGAGUCCGGAAGAGGAGAGUGGAAUUCCCGGUGUAGCGGUGAAAUGCGCAGAUAUCGGGAAGAACACCCGUGGCGAAGGCGGCUUACUGGUCCGGUUCUGACGCUGAGGCGCGAAAGCGUGGGGAGCAAACAGG